GACGAACGCUGGCGGCGUGCUUAACACAUGCAAGUCGAGCGAGGCCCUCCUUCGGGGGGUGCCCUAGCGGCGAACGGGUGAGUAACACGUGGGCAACCUGCCCUCAGCUCUGGGAUAACUCCAAGAAAUUGGUGCUAAUACCGGAUGUGACCGCUGACCGCAUGGUCUGGUGGUGGAAAGAUUUAUCGGCUGAGGAUGGGGCCCCGCGGCCUAUCAGCUUGUUGGUGGGGUCACGGCCCACCAAGGCGACGACGGGUAGCCGGCCUGAGAGGGUGACCGGCCACACUGGGACUGAGACACGGCCCAGACUCCUACGGGAGGCAGCAGUGGGGAAUAUUGCGCAAUGGGCGAAAGCCUGACGCAGCGACGCCGCGUGAGGGAUGACGGCCUGGUGUAACU
rnacentral:rRNA from 1 species